rnacentral:rRNA from 1 species
GACGAACGCUGGCGGCGUGCUUAACACAUGCAAGUCGAGCGAUGAAGCUCCUUCGGGAGUGGAUUAGCGGCGGACGGGUGAGUAACACGUGGGUAACCUGCCUCAUAGAGGGGAAUAGCCUUUCGAAAGGAAGAUUAAUACCGCAUAAGAUUGUAGCUUCGCAUGAAGCAGCAAUUAAAGGAGUAAUCCGCUAUGAGAUGGACCCGCGUCGCAUUAGCUAGUUGGUGAGGUAACGGCUCACCAAGGCGACGAUGCGUAGCCGACCUGAGAGGGGGAUCGGCGACAUUGGGACUGAGACACGGCCCGGACUCCUACGGGAGGCAGCAGUGGGGAAUAUUGCACCAUGGGGGAAACCCUGAUGCAGCAACGCCGCGUGAGUGAUGACGGUCUUCGGAUUGUAAAGCUCUGUCUUCAGGGACGAUAAUGACGGUACCUGAGGAGGAAGCCACGGCUAACUACGUGCCAGCAGCCGCCGUAA